rnacentral:misc_RNA from 1 species
GAGGGAGGUUAUUUGGGUGAAGAAAUGAUGAUGAUGAUGACCUGGCAUCAUCUGGGUCGUCCAUCUGUGGGGUUGGCAUGACUACUGGCUCAUUCUGCAUCUAGUAUCUCUGCUUGAGCCACUGCAAGCUGCAUUUGAAGCUGAGAAACCUGGUUUUGCAGGUAUGAUAUGGCUCCUACACACCCAUAAACUGGGUCUCUCACCCUUGCAUUUGCU